rnacentral:rRNA from 1 species
AGUGAACGCUGGCGGUAGGCCUAACACAUGCAAGUCGAACGGCAGCACAGUAAGAGCUUGCUCGUACGGGUGGCGAGUGGCGGACGGGUGAGGAAUACAUCGGAAUCUACUUUUUCGUGGGGGAAAACGUAGGGAAACUUACGCUAAUACCGCAUACGACCUACGGGUGAAAGCAGGAGAUCUUCGGACCUUGCGCGAUUGAAUGAGCCGAUGUCGGAUUAGCUAGUUGGCGGGGUAAAGGCCCACCAAGGCGACGAUCCGUAGCUGGUCUGAGAGGAUGAUCAGCCACACUGGAACUGAGACACGGUCCAGACUCCUACGGGAGGCAGCAGUGGGGAAUAUUGGACAAUGGGCGCAAGCCUGAUCCAGCCAUACCGCGUGGGUGAAGAAGGCCUUCGGGUUGUAAAGCCCUUUUGUUGGGAAAGAAAAGCAGCAGGUUAAUACCCCGCUGUUCUGACGGUACCCAAAGAAUAAGCACCGGCUAACUUCGUG